CUUACUAGUCACAGCCAGACAAAUUCCUUUCUCAUGAGCUCUGAAACAAGCUGACCUCUCCCAUCUGUUGGCUUCUUCUUUUAUGUCCUUCUGCCUGAGGGGGUUGGGGCCAGCAUUUCCUGCUGGGCUUCUCUUCCUGUUUCCUGCUCUUCCUUCCUUCUGAGGCCUACAACUCCUAGGAAGAUGUGGAGGCUUUCUCUCUCUAGUUUCUCUGACAGAUGGGCUAUGGAAAUAAUAGAUUUGUGAACUUCAAAAUAAUGUAUUUGCCAACAUGAAGCAUUGGAUAUUUCCUUUUCAAACCAUCUGUAAAUUUGAAUUUCCUUUUGGACACGAUGAGGAAAUCUUAAAAUAUACUUCAUUUUAACUUUUUGGCCCAAGUAGGUUGCCCAGCAUGUGCAACAAUUGCACACAACAUGGAACAGAUGCCCUACACUGAAUCUUUUUGCUUAAAGAUAUAUAAUUACUUUUCAUUUACACUGUGCAUGCAGAGUAUCUCAAAUAAAGUUGUGAAUUUGCUGAAGUGGAAUACAAUCACUUGCUCUAAAACAUAGUAGCUUCUCUUGCUUCCAGCCAUUGAAAGGCUUCUGCAAAUAAGGCAAAGCACCUGCAAUUUUAAAAAGAUUAUUUGAAGAUGAAAUUAAUACAAUUUAUUUGUGUCACUUGCAGUCAGUAAUAUCAGUAGUACUUACAGCUCAUAUUGGGGGAAACUGAAAAGCAAGACAAUUCACUGUUAGAAGUUAUGGACAUAUUAGUUUCUAUGUGGCAUGCCCUUGGAGCCAGAAAGGAACACAACUUCAUGUCCCCUGAUGUUAACAGAAUGCAGCUACAGAGAAAGGAAGGAGAUUAUGAAGAACAAUAUACGCUCUUUGAAACUGAUGUGGAGAAUCUCUAUAUUGGCUGCACAGACCACUUGGAUGGACAUGUGGAUCCAUCCCUUUCAAGAGUUUCCUUGCUUCAGAUGGAUGGAACUUGAUGACACAAUUUCAUGGGAAAGCAUUGGAUGCCUUAUCAAGGAAAGAGUGUCUAGAUGACUUUUAAUAAUAGCUCAUUUUCCCCUCUCAGUCCAUCCUUCCCACAAUGGUAUAUGUAGAAAAAGACUUUUCUUUGAUACAAAUGCAAUGGACUAAAGAAAGGAACUGUCUUAAUGUAGCUUCAGUGAAAGGUACCUUGCUGACCCAGUUCAACUAUCCAAAUUUAAACUGUCACCAAUUCCCUUCCUACUUGACCCGAAGAAAAUCCAACCAAGCAUGGGCUUCAAAAGACAGCCCAGAAACAAAUGCUAUUGGCUUCAUUCGGAGAUUGAGACUUCUUCAAAGAAAAGUCCAGUUCCCCCAUCUUUAAACUUCCAUUGGAUAUGUCCUUUGUCAUCCUGCCAGUCACUCAGGUAAAGUGAGAGAGAAGAAGAGAAGGGAAAUUGUUGGCCCAUCAAUUGGAGACAUCUGUUGUCUAACUUAUCUAAGGUAUGGUGAAGCCACACAGGUCCUUUUUAUUGCAAACUAACUCAUAACAUUCCUUAUGAGUUAGCAAAAUUUUAUGUUCAUCCUCUAGACUUCAGGUGCCCCAUAGGAAUUUUAUAAUACCAAGAAGGCUGACUCUGAUUUUGUAAUUCACUCCAUUUUCUUCUCCAUCCACACCUGCUUUACCUCUUUGUAAGGCCAAAGGAAAUUGUUCAA